UACGUAGGGUGCAAGCGUUGUCCGGAAUUACUGGGCGUAAAGCGUGCGCAGGCGGUUGUGUAAGACAGAUGUGAAAUCCCCGGGCUCAACCUGGGAACUGCAUUUGUGACUGCACGGCUCGAGUGCGGCAGAGGGGGAUGGAAUUCCGCGUGUAGCAGUGAAAUGCGUAGAUAUGCGGAGGAACACCGAUGGCGAAGGCAAUCCCCUGGGCCUGCACUGACGCUCAUGCACGAAAGCGUGGGGAGCAAACAGG
rnacentral:rRNA from 1 species